rnacentral:lncRNA from 1 species
UUACAAUAAUAACUCCUCAACAAAUCCUCAGGGUUACGCUCCCUUCUCAAAUGUUCAAUCAGGAAAAGAAUGUUCAAUCUCAGACGACCAAUUCCCAGGAUUAAUAGAAAUACAAGGUUAGACCAUCAUGUAAUCGGGCUUGCAAGAAUGUUCAAUCUGAUGUAUUGGUCCGAGUGCUGGGCAAAACAGGCAGGUUGUGGCAAAACACGCAAGCACUCUUAUUCUAUGACGUCACUAUUGCUAGAAUUUUCCAUUUAAUGUAUCGUACCGGCUGCUGGGCAUGAAAAACAGAUUUUGACAAAAUAAGCAACCCCUCAUCUACUAUGACGUCAAUAUUAAAACCGUGGUGGAAGUCAAAAAUCACUCGUACAGGCGUUAUGGUAUAGCUUUAUAUUUCUAUUAACCUUGCUACAACGAACUUUCAUCACUGAUACUAAUACACUGUCUAUACUCACCUAUAUAGCUCGAGCUAUAGGCAGUACUGCCUAUUGAGAGUGAUGAAAAUUCAGUGUAUUUUUUCGCUGUUUUUUUAAUUCUUUGGAAAAAAUUUCAAAUUUAGAGUUAUUUCCAAAAAAAUUAAUUUUUUGGAAAAAAAUUUGUAAAAUUUAAGUAAAUUUCAAAUUUUUUGAUUUUUUUUUCUUUAAAUAUUUCAUUUUCUAGUACAUUUAUUCAUUUUAUUUAUGAAAAUCAUUUUUUCUAACGGGAUCACCACGAGCAGAAGUCCAAUUCUUGAAACCAAUUUCCUUUUACUUUUUCCAAUAAAUGGACUUAUAUUCCAUCAA